AAAGUCGUAACAAGGUUUCCGUAGGUGAACCUGCGGAAGGAUCAUUACAGAAGGUAACCUUUUUGGUUCACUCUUCACAUCCCUUUGUCUACCUACUCUGUUGCUUCCAUGGUGCCAGCCAAGUUGGCUCUGGACAGGUGCUUCACGGCAUCUGUUUGGAAGUGCCCAUGGGCGGUUCCCUUUCCGGUGGCUUUUGUUACUUGGCUUGGGGAACCUUUACACAAAAACCUCUUGUACAUCAAUUUGUCUGAACAAAGUUAUAUAAAAAAUAAAACUUUCAACAACGGAUCUCUAGGCUCUU
rnacentral:misc_RNA from 1 species